GAUGAACGCUGGCGGCGUGCCUAAUACAUGCAAGUCGAGCGAACGGACGAGAAGCUUGCUUCUCUGAUGUUAGCGGCGGACGGGUGAGUAACACGUGGAUAACCUACCUAUAAGACUGGGAUAACUUCGGGAAACCGGAGCUAAUCCCGGAUAAUAUUUUGCACCGCAUGGUUCAAAAGUGAAAGACGGUCUUGCUGUCACUUAUAGAUGGUUCCGCGCUGCAUUAGCUAGUUGGUAAGGUAACGGCUUACCAAGGCUACGAUGCAUAGCCGACCUGAGAGGGUGAUCGGCCACACGGGAACUGAGACACGGUCCAGACUCCUACGGGAGGCAGCAGUAGGGAAUCGUCCGCAAUGGGCGAGAGCCUGACGGAGCAACGCCGCGUGAGUGAUGAAGGUCUUCGGAUCGUAAAACUCUGUUAUUAGGGAAGAACAUAUGUGUAAGUAACUGUGCACAUCUUGACGGUACCUAAUCAGAAAGCCACGGCUAACUACGUG
rnacentral:rRNA from 1 species